rnacentral:rRNA from 1 species
AGCCUUGCCGCGUGGAGGAUGAAGGUCCUCUGGAUUGUAAACUUCUUUUAUCUGGGAAGAAAUGUCGACUUUUAAUGAGGUUUACGGUACCAGAGGAGUAAGCCCGGCUAACUCCGUGCCAGCAGCCGCGGUAAUACGGAGGGUGCAAGCGUUAUCCGGAUUCACUGGGUUUAAAGGGUGCGUAGGCGGAUUUUUAAGUCCGUGGUGAAAUCUCCGAGCUUAACUCGGAAACUGCCAUGGAUACUAUAAGUCUUGAAUGUUGUGGAGGUUUGCGGAAUAUGUCAUGUAGCGGUGAAAUGCUUAGAUAUGACAUAGAACACCGAUUGCGAAGGCAGCUGGCUACACAAAUAUUGACGCUGAGGCACGAAAGCGUGGGGAUCAAACAGGAUUAGAUACCCUGGUAGUCCACGCCCUAAACGAUGAUUACUCGACAUUUGCGAUACACAGCAAGUGUCUGAGCGAAAGCAUUAAGUAAUCCACCUGGGAAGUACGACCGCAAGGUUGAAACUCAGGAAUU